rnacentral:rRNA from 1 species
CCUACGGGUGGCUGCAGUGGGGAAUAUUGGACAAUGGGGGGAACCCUGAUCCAGCCAUGCCGCGUGUGUGAAGAAGGCCUUCGGGUUGUAAGGCACUUUCAGCGGGGAGGAAGGCGGUGAGGUUAAUAACCUCAUCGAUUGACGUUACCCGCAGAAGAAGCGCCGGCUAACUCCGUGCCAGCAGCCGCGGUAAUACGGAGGGUGCAAGCGUUAAUCGGAAUUACUGGGCGUAAAGCGCGCGCAGGCGGUCUGUCAAGUCGGAUGUGAAAUCCCCGGGCUCAACCUGGGAACUGCAUUCGAAACUGGCAGGCUAGAGUCUUGUAGAGGGGGGUAGAAUUCCAGGUGUAGCGGUGAAAUGCGUAGAGAUCUGGAGGAAUACCGGUGGCGAAGGCGGCCCCCUGGACAAAGACUGACGCUCAGGUGCGAAAGCGUGGGGAGCAAACAGGAUUAGAUACCCGUGUAGUC